GCUGGGCGUGGUGGUGCACGCCUGUAGUCCCAACUACUUGGGAGGCUGAGGUGGGAGGAUUGCUUGAGCCCAGGAGGUCAAGACUGCAGUGACCUGAGAUCAUGCCACUGCACUCCAGCCUGGGAGACAUAGUGAGACACCAUCUCAA
ensembl:misc_RNA Metazoa_SRP Metazoan signal recognition particle RNA